UACCAGCACCCCGAGUGGUCGGGACGAUUAUUGGGCCUAAAGCAUCCGUAGCCGGUUUACAAGUCCUCCGUUAAAUCCAGCUGCUUAACAGAUGGGCUGCGGGGGAUACCGCAGAGCGUAGGAGGCGGGAGAGGCAAACGGUACUCAGUGGGUAGGGGUAAAAUCCAUUGAUCUACUGAAGACCACCAGUGGCGAAGGCGGUUUGCCAGAACGCGCUCGACGGUGAGGGAUGAAAGCUGGGGGAGCAAACCGG
rnacentral:rRNA from 1 species